ACAAUGGUUUAAGUCACAAAGGAUGCGACAUUCCCUGGUGACAAUUCUGCACUACGGACCAGGGCUUGUUGGGCUGUGAAGGAUGCAGGAAGGAACCAGGUUACGUCCCUGUGGCCCAGAGGCUGGUCCAAGAGCAGACACCCACCUGCUGCUGCACAGCCUGCACUUCCUCCGCCAUCAGCCCUUCUGACUCCAGAUCUUCUGCCACCUUAUUAAUGUCCUUCAGCCGUGACUCGUUGGCCUUCAGAUCCUUUAAAGCAAAAAACACAGUAACUGAGACCACAGGAGCAAGGCAAAAGCAAAGGGGCACAGGGCUCAUGAAUGACAGCUGGAAACGCUGACUUUCUGUGUGAUUUAGAAAAGUUCUUAGCAUGAGAGAAAAUGAUGUGUUUCCCUGACACGAACUGGCCCAGGACAGCAGAAGUCACGUGAGACUGCGAGGUCGGAGCUGCUGGACUGCCCUACCUUCUGGAAGUCGUCGAACUUCUUCUGCAGCACCUCCACCUGCUCUAAGUCUGCGCCCACCUCCUCGCUUGUCAGAGCAGCUUCCUUCUCGUUGAUCCACUGCUGUAGUUCGUUCGCUUCACGGAACAACAUGAACUUCUUGCAACUCUUCUCCAACAUACCUUUACGCUUCUCGCCCAGCUCCAGCAGAGAAUGGUAUCUGGUGCAGCAGAGAGAAUAAGAAGGGCAAGGAGACAGUUAGCUUUCUAGAGAGGCCAAGAUAAAGGCAAACACCAGGUGUCUCCGAGAUGUCGAUCCCGGCCAUGAACGCGUGACAAUGGCGCCCUGGUGACAGAGUGCUGGACAGAGAUGAAGAUGAAGCACCGAAGGGCCACAGGGUGCCUCGGGGAUGAGCACCCACUGACUGCUCACAAAUGGGUGGCCAGAUCAGCAAGACACCCCUGGCCGCAUUUGCACUCACAACAUCAUGACCACACACAACCCAAACGUAGCAUUCAGCACACAUGGGCUCUGGCGGCCGCAGGGAGUGGAGCGUGCCAGGCACAACACCCACAGGGGCUCCUCCACUCGCUCCACGGGCAGGACGAGGCGUGGGAAGGGGAUGGAGCUUCAGCGCGGCCUGGGGGAGCACACCGGGCCCUUGGGACAGCAGGGGCUUCCCUAUGUCUCAACCUCAGGGGAAAAGGAAACAGGUACAGGCUGCCUGUUACUACUUUGUCAGCUGGCAGGUCUCUUAAGAAGAACCAAAGGGUGUUCUAAUCUUCGGGAAAUAAUACAAAAGCCGAACACCUGCUCUUCAGAGAUGUGAAAAUGAAAAACCCAAUAAAACUGAGUUAAAUGGUUAAAAAAAAAAAAUCUAUAUUCACCAUCAAAUCAAAGCUGCCCAGAGGGGGAAAUAAAAAGCAAUGCAUUACCAAGAACCACAGCACUUUACAGAGAGGCAUGUCCUUUCCCUCCUACAGAGGGACACUCCCGACUGGCCAUAGACCUGCGCCAGUGUUAGCACGACCAUGUGGGCCCGCGGAGAGGUGGGCCACAACACUGAACAUAUAGCCGCACGCAAGGCCACCAUGAGGAAAGGGGCCGUCAGGGCCAGCGCCACCGACACCUCCUCCCGUGUGAGCAGAAGCUGCUGCACAGAAAGGCUCCCCCCUCCUCAUCUGUCUGGAUGAACGAGACCCUUCUGAGAAAAGCGGCUGAGGGAGAACAGACAAGGUGGAGCAUGGACACGGUGCUCAGCGAGGCUUGUGGCCUACUCACAGUUCUUCCACCUGUUUCAUACGCAGAGAUACACUGCCGGCCUCCUUAGUUAUGCGUGUCCUGCACAGGGGGGCACAGCAAAAGCAUGCACGAGUUAGUGGAUUAAUCGAGAGAGAGGAAAAGCGGUGCUCCGAUGGUGCCAGGACGGCCGAGGCUUAGAGGGGAAAUUAGGGAGUCAUUCAAAGCUCUUGGAAGCAGGCCAGGCCAUGAAUGAAGUCACAGUCAAGAAACAGCACGAAAAUUAAAUGAGAGGGUUAUUACUUCACCUUUACUUUCCUGAAAAAUUGGCCACUCUAAGGGCAGUCAAUUCGUCCGUACUGGACAAACUGGUGAGGGCAGAGAGCAAGGCCAGAAAUAAGCACUGCCCUGAGAGAAAGCCUUUCCUGAGAGCUAAUCUGCAACAUUAGCCACAUAUUUGGUCAACUUAUUGCUCUUACACGUCUGGCCCAGGCCCAAACCUCUCACUCUCACCUCUACAGGCCUAGCAGGAGUCUGUUAGUAAACACAGAACCUUUCCAGGGGUAGACAGGGUCAAAUAAUUCUAGUCUACACUCCAGUGAGAGCACAUCUCUCCUGGGGCCCACGGCUUUCAACAGGGUUAAAACAUGCCCUCACGAAAGGACAAGGCCAACGUGGGGCUCAGCUUUGAGAGAGGAAGAGUCCUCCCAUUCUCCUGACACAAGGCAUGGCAGAGGUGUACUCCCGAAGAGCAAUUUAGAGAAGGCAGAGCGGUGAGGGUGUGGAACACCUAAAAAUCCGAUUUCAGAAAGGAUCUCCUGAAGGGCAGGACAAAGGUUAAGAUAAUGAUUUAAACAAUGCAGCUCAGACAGUCAUGAGCGUGCAGGGGAGGGGAGGCACACAACACACUGGAAACAGGUAUCCGGCGGGGAUAUUCGUUCCAAAUAGAAUGUUCUGGGUUAACUAGGACCUGGGAUGGCAGGGAAGUUCAUCCUGGGGUACAGGCAGAGGAAC